GACGAACGCUGGCGGCGUGCUUAACACAUGCAAGUCGAACGCAGUGGCGAACGGGUGAGUAACGCGUAAUCAACCUGCCCUUCAGAGGGGGACAACGGUUUGAAACGACUGCUAAUACCGCAUACUGAGGGAGGGGAUUGCGUCUGAUUAGUUAGUUGGGGGGGUAACGGCCCACCAAGGCGAUGAUCAGUAGCCGGUCUGAGAGGAUGAACGGCCACAUUGGGACUGAGACCAGGCCCAGACUCCUACGGGAGGCAGCAGUGGGGAAUCUUCCGCAAUGGACGAAAGUCUGACGGAGCAACGCCGCGGGAGUGAAGAAGGUUUUCGGAUCGUAAAGCUCUGUUGUUAAGGAAGCGGUACUUAACCAGAAAGGGACGGCUAACUACGUGCCAGCAGCCGCGGUAAUAC
rnacentral:rRNA from 1 species